UGGUGACUAUAGCAAGGAGGUCACACCUGUUCCCAUGCCGAACACAGAAGUUAAGCUCCUUAGCGUCGAUGGUAGUCGAAAAAUGGAUGCGAUGAGCC
rnacentral:rRNA from 1 species